CUUAAACUCGGGAGGCGGAGGUUGACGUGAGCUGAAAUCACACCAUUGCACUUCAGCCUGGCCUUGAAGGCGAAACUCCAUCUCACAAGAAAAAAAAAGAAAAGAAAAGAGUCCUAAUAGUCCCUAGGUCCAGCCCAUGCUCAAAAGGAGAGGAUUAUACAGGACAUGAAUAUGAGGAGGCUGUUUGCCACAGUCCUCAAAGACAUCCUCACUCUGCCCUCUCACAACAUUUUGAGAGGCUGAGGCAGGAGGAUUGCUUGAGGCCAGCAGUUGGAGACCAGCCUGAGCAACACAGGGAGCUCUGGUCUCUGCAAAAAAUACACAAAAUUAGCCAGGUGUGGUGGUGCAUGCCUAUCGUUCCAUCUACUUGAGAGGCUGAGGGGGAAGGACUGAUUGAGCCCAGGGGUCUUGGGACAGGGGUGUGGGUUGAGGCUGCAAUGAGCCGACAUUGCCCCACUGCACUCCCACCUGGAUGACAGAGUGAGACCCCGAUUCAAAAAAAAAAAAAAAACCCUCACUCUGCAUCCCUAAUGGCCAUGUUGGCCUGGAUGGUCUCCAUCUCUUGACCUUGUGAUCUGCCCGCGCUCCUUCCCCCCUGCUGCUUCUCCAUCUCCAUCUCUCCAUCUUCAGCUCCUGGCCUUUCCUGGCAUGGGGCAGGGCAGUGGUUGUGGGAUCCUCCUCCAGCUUGUGCAGGCCUGGGCCGCCCUGGUCAGUGUGACUGGGCAACAGUGCAGUUCACGCCCUGGAUUGGCAGUGGCAGCAGAAGGAGGCGAGGGAGGGACCUCCAGGCAGGAGACGCCGCCGCGCCCCCAGCAGCAGGCAGGGCGGGGGAGAAAGACGCCAGGAAUGGCCAAGGGUCGCCCAGGACUGCGCCCCCUGAUUCCUGCCCGCGAGCAGCUGCUGGGACCCCUCCCUGCCAAGUUGCUCCCCGAAAAGCUCUAAGGCGCUCAGAACUGCAGGGAGAGACCCUUCUUCCUCACUGUGGCGAAGCACUCUAUUGUCCUGACCCCACAGUUCCUGUCCCAUGACCAGGGCCAGCUCACCAAGGAGCUGCAGCAGCAGCACGUAGUCAGUGCCAUCCCUCAUGCGAGCACCUGAGGAAG
rnacentral:lncRNA from 1 species